UACGGAGGGUGCAAGCGUUAUCCGGAUUUAUUGGGUUUAAAGGGUCCGUAGGCGGAUCUGUAAGUCAGUGGUGAAGUCUCACAGCUUAACUGUGAAACUGCCAUUGAUACUGCAGGUCUUGAGUAAGGUAGAAGUGGCUGGAAUAAGUAGUGUAGCGGUGAAAUGCAUAGAUAUUACUUAGAACACCAAUUGCGAAGGCAGGUCACUAUGUCUUAACUGACGCUGAUGGACGAAAGCGUGGGGAGCGAACAGG
rnacentral:rRNA from 1 species